UACGUAGGGUGCGAGCGUUGCCCGGAUUUAUUGGGCGUAAAGGGCGCGUAGGCGGCCACGCACGUCCGUUGUGAAAUCGCCCGGCUCAACUGGGCGGGGUCAGCGGAUACGGUGUGGCUCGAGCAAGCUAGGGGGCAAUGGAAUUCCCGGUGUAGUGGUGGAAUGCGUAGAUACUGGGAGGAACACCAGUGGCGAAGGCGGCUACCUGGACCGGUUCUGACGCUGAGGCGCGAAAGCGUGGGUAGCAAACAGG
rnacentral:rRNA from 1 species